rnacentral:tRNA from 1 species
GCGCGGUAGUUCAGUUGGUUAGAAUGCCAGCCUGUCACGCUGGAGGUCGAGGGUUCGAACCCCUU